UUGAUCCUGGCUCAGGAUGAACGCUAGCGGCAGGCCUAACACAUGCAAGUCGAGGGGUAAGGUUCAGCUUGCUGAAUACACGACCGGCGCACGGGUGAGUAACACGUUUGCAACCUACCUCUAACUGGAGGAUAGCCCGAAGAAAUUCGGAUUAAUAUUCCAUAAAGUCAAUUUAAGGCAUCUUUUAUUGAUUAAAGCUCCGGCGGUUAGAGAUGGGCAUGCGUGUCAUUAGCUAGUUGGUGAGGUAACGGCUCACCAAGGCCACGAUGACUAGGGGGUCUGAGAGGAUGAUCCCCCACACUGGUACUGAGACACGGACCAGACUCCUACGGGAGGCAGCAGUGAGGAAUAUUGGGCAAUGGACGCAAGUCUGACCCAGCCAUGCCGCGUGCAGGAUGACUGCCCUAUGGGUUGUAAACUGCUUUUGUUUGGGAAGAAACCCCCGAUCGUGAUCGGGGCUGACGGUACCAUACGAAUAAGCAUCGGCUAACUCCGUGCCAGCAGCCGCGGUAAUACGGAGGAUGCAAGCGUUAUCCGGAUUCAUUGGGUUUAAAGGGUGCGCAGGCGGAAUAUUAAGUCAGUGGUGAAAUCCUGCAGCUUAACUGUAGAACUGCCAUUGAUACUGAUAUUCUUGAAUAUAGUUGAGGUAGGCGGAAUGUGUAAUGUAGCGGUGAAAUGCUUAGAUAUUACACAGAACACCAAUUGCGAAGGCAGCUCACUAAACUAAUAUUGACGCUGAGGCACGAAAGCGUGGGUAGCAAACAGGAUUAGAUACCCUGGUAGUCCACGCUGUAAACUAUGAUCACUCGCUGUUGGCAAUACAUCGUCAGCGGCUGAGCGAAAGCAUUAAGUGAUCCACCUGGGGAGUACGGUCGCAAGAUUGAAACUCAAAGGAAUUGACGGGGGGGCCCCCGCACAAGCGGAGGAACAUGUGGUUUAAUUCGAUG
rnacentral:rRNA from 1 species